UUGUAACCGGCGGGUUGGCCACGCCUACACCGCCUGGUUAGUAAUUUGGCAGAAUAAUCAUGGAUAUAAAUAACACCUGGGGAGAUGCUGUUGUGAUAAGCAAUUUCUGUGCUGGUCGCUGCCGUAACCGGUCUGAAGUGAAUCUCCCUCCAUCGAGCUGUGUCCUGCUUCUCCUUUAAGACUGUUUUUAGGAGAUUGCCGCAUGCUCUCCAGGAGCGAUAAUUGAUGCAAGCGUGAUCCAGCAGAAGUUGGUGUCCAUCGCACAUGCUGUGCUAGGGUGACGUGCAGCCAAGGGGUGAUAGCC